rnacentral:rRNA from 1 species
UAACGCGUGGGUAACCUGCCCUUUUGUGGGGGAACAACUUCGAGAAAUCGGAGCUAAUACCGCAUAAUAAUAGAGGAUCGCAUGAUUCUUUAAGGAAAGAUGGCCUCUGAAGAUGCUAUCGCAAAAGGAUGGACCCGCGUCUGAUUAGCUAGUUGGAAGGGUAACGGCCUACCAAGGCAACGAUCAGUAGCCGGCCUGAGAGGGUGAACGGCCACAUUGGGACUGAGACACGGCCCAAACUCCUACGGGAGGCAGCAG